rnacentral:rRNA from 1 species
GGCUCAGGAUGAACGCUAGCGGCAGGCUUAAUACAUGCAAGUCGUGGGGCAGCAGGUUUGUAGCAAUACAGAUGCUGGCGACCGGCAAACGGGUGCGGAACACGUACAGAAUCUUCCUUUGAGCGGGGAAUAGCCCAGAGAAAUUUGGAUUAAUACCCCAUAGUAUAAUGAAGUGGCAUCACUUUAUUAUUAAAGAUUUAUCACUCGAAGAUGGCUGUGCGGCUGAUUAGGUAGUUGGCGGGGUAAAGGCCCACCAAGCCUGCGAUCAGUAACUGGUGUGAGAGCACGACCAGUCACACGGGCACUGAGACACGGGCCCGACUCCUACGGGAGGCAGCAGUAAGGAAUAUUGGUCAAUGGAGGCAACUCUGAACCAGCCAUGCCGCGUGGAGGAUGAAGGUCCUCUGGAUUGUAAACUUCUUUAUAUGGGACGAAAAAGGCUUUUCUAAGUCGUCUGACGGUACCAUAUGAAUAAGCACCGGCUAACUCCGUG